rnacentral:rRNA from 1 species
UUGGCCCAGAUCGUUUACCGUGAAAAAAUUAGAGUGUUCAAAGCAGGCAGAUCCAAUUCUCUGCCACCGAAUACAUUAGCAUGGGAUAAUGGAAUAGGACCCUGUCCUCCUAUUUUCAGUUGGUUUUGGCAGCGCGAGGACUAGGGUAAUGAUUAAUAGGGAUAGUUGGGGGCAUUAAUAUUUAAUUGUCAGAGGUGAAAUUCUUGGAUUUAUGAAAGAUUAACUUCUGCGAAAGCAUCUGCCAAGGAUGUUUUCAUUAAUCAAGAACGAAAGUUAGGGGAUCGAAGACGAUCAGAUACCGUCGUAGUCUUAACCAUAAACGAUGCCGACCAGCGAUUAGGAGACGUUGAAUACAAAACACCACCAUCGGCGCGGCUGCCCUUGGCGUCUCGGCUUUCAACGGCUGGGCGCGGGGGUGUAGCCCGCCCGACC